GUCUCCUACACCAGCAUGCGGUGGGGAUCGUUUCACUGAAACCAGCGCCCACCCUCUGCCGACGAGGAGUUCCCUGGCGUCAGAGCCUGGAGGAGGAGUGCCCCGAACCUGCUGACCCUCUCUGGUCCGGAGCUGUGGACACUGCUGGUUCUCGGGAGGCCGAGGGAGAUGUGACACACACAGAGGAGAAGACAAUGUGAACACAAAGCAGACAGAUUUGAAGAUGUGCUGGCUUUGAAGAUUGCAGUGAUGUGACCACAAGCCAAGGAAUGCCAGCAGCCACCAGAAGCUGAAGA